rnacentral:rRNA from 1 species
UAUUGGACAAUGGGCGCAAGCCUGAUCCAGCAAUGCCGCGUGUGUGAAGAAGGUCUUCGGAUCGUAAAGCACUUUCGACGGGGACGAUGAUGACGGUACCCGUAGAAGAAGCCCCGGCUAACUUCGUGCCAGCAGCCGCGGUAAUACGAAGGGGGCUAGCGUUACUCGGAAUUACUGGGCGUAAAGGGCGCGUAGGCGGCGCUCCAAGUUAGGCGUGAAAGGCCUGGGCUCAACCUGGGAACUGCGCUUGAUACUGGAGUGCUUGAGGAUGGAAGAGGGUCGUGGAAUUCCCAGUGUAGAGGUGAAAUGCGUAGAUAUUGGGAAGAACACCGGUGGCGAAGGCGGCGACCUGGUCCAUUACUGACGCUGAGGCGCGACAGCGUGGGGAGCAAACAG